UGAUAGGUCGGGUGUGUAAGCGUAGCGAUACGUUGAGCUAACCGAUACUAAUGAACCGUGAGGCUUAACCUUACAACGCCGAAG
rnacentral:rRNA from 1 species